UACGAAGGGGGCUAGCGUUGCUCGGAAUCACUGGGCGUAAAGGGUGCGUAGGCGGGUCUUUAAGUCAGGGGUGAAAUCCUGGAGCUCAACUCCAGAACUGCCUUUGAUACUGAGGAUCUUGAGUUCGGGAGAGGUGAGUGGAACUGCGAGUGUAGAGGUGAAAUUCGUAGAUAUUCGCAAGAACACCAGUGGCGAAAGGCGGCUCACUGGCCCGAUACUGACGCUGAGGCACGAAAGCGCGGGGAGCAAACAGGG
rnacentral:rRNA from 1 species